rnacentral:rRNA from 1 species
CCUACGGGAGGCAGCAGUAGGGAAUAUUGCACAAUGGGGGAAACCCUGAAGCAGCAACGCCGCGUGGAGGAUGAAGGUUUUCGGAUUGGAAACUCCUUUUGGUAGAGAAGAAAAUGACGGUAUCUAACGAAUAAGCACCGGCUAACUCCGUGCCAGCAGCCGCGGUAAUACGGAGGGUGCAAGCGUUACUCGGAACGACUGGGCGUAAAGAGCGCGUAGGCGGGAUAGCAAGUCAGAUGUGAAAUCCUAUGGCUUAACCCUAGAACUGCAUUUGAAACUGUUAGUCUAGAGUAUGGUAGAGGUAGGUGGAAUUCUUGGUGUAGAGGUGAAAUCCGUAGAGAUCAGGAGGAAUACUCAUUGCGAAGGCGGCCUGCUAGAACAUAACUGACGCUGAUGCGCGAAAGCGUGGGGAGCAAACAGGAUUAGAUACCCCAGUAGUC